rfam:Rattus norvegicus chromosome 17, whole genome shotgun sequence.
GGGGACUUAGCUCAGUGGUAGAGCGCUUGCCUAGGAAGCGCAAGGCCCUGGGUUCGGUCCCCAGCUCCA